rnacentral:tRNA from 1 species
GGAAUGCGCGAAAAAGGGGUGCGUCCGGACUUCAAAUCCGGUGUGCGGUCGAGAGGUCGCAGGUAGGUUCGACUCCUAUACGCUUCCGCCA